rnacentral:misc_RNA from 1 species
GGAGAACAAAAAAAUUUAAGGGAUAGAAAAUGGGGAGUAACAUUAGUUUUGUCUUCCUGUUUCAGAUUUGGUGAGAAUGGGAGGAAGGAAAAUGAGGAGUAAUUAUAUAUAAAUAUUUAUAUAUAUUUAUGCCCUUCAUUAUAUUUGUUUGGAAAUGUAAGAAAAUUUGAGGGUUAAAAUUUUGAAUACUAAAAUUACAAUUAUGCCCUUUAUUAUUUAAUAUAAAGCAAAAUGAUUGGGGUAUAUGUAUGAAAGGCUUUACCUAUAGAAUUAAUGCGAGUCUUUUUUGUUGUAAACUUUAUAUAGUUUCAAAAAUAAAGCUACUUUUGGUGGGUUAGAAACUUAGAGAAGGAAGACCAUUAGUGAGUUCCAGGAAAAUGUGGUAUGGUGUGCAAUUGUUGCUUGACGUCAGUCCUACACUCUUCUAAAGCUGUCUCUGCUCCUCAAAGGUUUUAGCUUAGGGUUUUCCUAGGCUUUCUUUGUCAUAAAUGAGAAGAAAGGGUGAGCAGUAGUAGUUCAGUUCCUACAGUUUUUAAUUGAUAUAAUGCAAUGUUAUCAUCUAAUAAUUUUUGUUGAU